rnacentral:rRNA from 1 species
UGGGGAAUUUUGGACAAUGGGCGAAAGCCUGAUCCAGCAAUGCCGCGUGUGUGAAGAAGGCCUUCGGGUUGUAAAGCACUUUUGUCCGGAAAGAAGUCCUUGGCUCUAAUACAGUCGGGGGAUGACGGUACCGGAAGAAUAAGCACCGGCUAACUACGUGCCAGCAGCCGCGGUAAUACGUAGGGUGCAAGCGUUAAUCGGAAUUACUGGGCGUAAAGCGUGCGCAGGCGGUUUGCUAAGACCGAUGUGAAAUCCCCGGGCUCAACCUGGGAACUGCAUUGGUGACUGGCAGGCUAGAGUAUGGCAGAGGGGGGUAGAAUUCCGCGUGUAGCAGUGAAAUGCGUAGAGAUGUGGAGGAAUACCGAUGGCGAAGGCAGCCCCCUGGGCCAAUACUGACGCUCAUGCACGAAAGCGUGGGGAGCAAACAGGAUUAGAUACCCUGGUAGUCCACGCCCUAAACGAUGUCAACUAGUUGUUGGGGAUUCAUUUCCUUAGUAACGUAGCUAACGCGUGAAGUUGACCGCCUGGGGAGUACGGUCGCAAGAUUAAAACUCAAAGGAAUUGACGGGGUCAUAGCUGUUUCCU